UACAGAGGGUGCGAGCGUUGUCCGGAAUCACUGGGCGUAAAGGGCGCGUAGGUGGCGGCCCAAGUCCGUGGUGAAAGCUCGAUGCUCAACAUCGAGUCGGCCACGGAUACUGGGUUGCUCGAGCACUGUAGGGGCAGAUGGAAUUCCGGGUGUAGCGGUGGAAUGCGUAGAGAUCCGGAAGAACACCGGUGGCGAAGGCG
rnacentral:rRNA from 1 species